CACACCACUGUGGUGACACGUCCCCUAUAUGACUAUCUCUGUCCCCACGUUGUGAUUGCCCCUCCCCCACUCCACUUUACCGCGCAGAGCCAGAGAGGGAAAAUCACUUUCAUCUGGAGAAGCUCGUCCGUUAACACCGGGCGGCCCAUCUGCAGGUCCCCGCUGUUCCUAAAAGAAAGAUUAAGGAUUUGAGUUGGCCUGACGGAGAGAUCUUCCAGGCGACUCCGGCCCAUGGAGGAUGCAGAGCAUCACAUCAGAUCAAACAUUGAUAAACCAGUACUUUACCAGCGUUUUAUCAAUAUCUUUAAAGGACGGGGAGUUUUUGCCACUGAAUUCAUAUCCAAAGGAGACUUUGUUGUGGAGUACCGAGGUGAACUGCUUACACAACAGGAGGGCGAGG